ACGUACACUCCUACGGGAGGCAGCAGUGGGGAAUAUUGCACAAUGGGCGCAAGCCUGAUGCAGCCAUGCCGCGUGUAUGAAGAAGGCCUUCGGGUUGUAAAGUACUUUCAGCGGGGAGGAAGGCAAUACGGUUAAUAACCGUGUUGAUUGACGUUACCCGCAGAAGAAGCACCGGCUAACUCCGUGCCAGCAGCCGCGGUAAUACGGAGGGUGCAAGCGUUAAUCGGAAUUACUGGGCGUAAAGCGCACGCAGGCGGUCUGUCAAGUCGGAUGUGAAAUCCCCGGGCUCAACCUGGGAACUGCAUUCGAAACUGGCAGGCUUGAGUCUUGUAGAGGGGGGUAGAAUUCCAGGUGUAGCGGUGAAAUGCGUAGAGAUCUGGAGGAAUACCGGUGGCGAAGGCGGCCCCCUGGACAAAGACUGACGCUCAGGUGCGAAAGCGUGGGGAGCAAACAGGAUUAGAUACCCCAGUAGUCCCAU
rnacentral:rRNA from 1 species